rnacentral:rRNA from 1 species
CCUACGGGUGGCAGCAGUGAGGAAUCUUGGUCAAUGGACGAGAGUCUGAACCAGCAAAGUAGCGUGAAGGAUGACUGCCCUCUGGGUUGUAAACUUCUUUUAUAUGGGAAUAAAAUGUUCCACGUGUGGGAUUUUGUAUGUACCAUAUGAAUAAGGAUCGGCUAACUCCGUGCCAGCAGCCGCGGUAAUACGGAGGAUACGAGCGUUAUCCGGAUUUAUUGGGUUUAAAGGGAGCGUAGGUGGAUUGUUAAGUCAGUUGUGAAAGUUUGCGGCUCAACUGUAACAUUGCAGUUGAAACUGGCAGUCUUGAGUACAGUAGAGGUGGGCGGAAUUCGUGGUGUAGCGGUGAAAUGCUUAGAUAUCACGAAGAACACCGAUUGCGAAGGCAGUUCACUGGACUGCAACUGACACUGAGGCUCGAAAGUGUGGGUAUCAAACAGGAUUAGAUACCCCAGUAGUC